AUGGCCACCAAUAGAGCACCUGGGCCGGACAAUAUACCAGUUGAAUUCUAUCAAAUAUGCUGGGAGAUAGUGAAGGAUGAUAUCAUGUCCCUUUUUAGGCACUUUCAUAAUGGGACGCUUGAUGUUCAAUGUCUUAAUUAUGGGGUGAUCACUUUACUGCCCAAAGUGUCUGGAGCUGACAAAAUCCAACAGUUCAGGCCGAUUUGUCUCCUGAGAUGCCCGUAUAAGCUCAUUACAAAAAGUAAUGGACCGUAG
rnacentral:rRNA from 1 species